GCUACCCCGGGGAUAACAGGCUUAUCUCCCCCAAGAGUUCACAUCGACGGGGAGGUUUGGCACCUCGAUGUCGGCUCAUCGCAUCCUGGGGCUGUAGUCGGUCCCAAGGGUUGGGCUGUUCGCCCAUUAAAGCGGUACGCGAGCUGGGUUCAGAACGUCGUGAGACAGUUCGGUCCCUAUCCGUCGUGGGCGUAGGAAAUUUGAGAGGAGCUGUCCUUAGUACGAGAGGACCGGGAUGGACAUACCUCUGGUGUACCAGUUGUCGUGCCAACGGCAUAGCUGGGUAGCUAUGUGUGGACGGGAUAAGUGCUGAAAGCAUCUAAGCAUGAAGCCCCCCUCAAGAUGAGAUUUCCCAACUUCGGUUAUAAGAUCCCUCAAAGAUGAUGAGGUUAAUAGGUUCGAGGUGGAAGCAUGGU
rnacentral:rRNA from 1 species